ACGCUCGACACCUACGGAAGGCAGCAGUGGGGAAUAUUGCACAAUGGGGGAAACCCUGAUGCAGCGACGCCGCGUGAGCGAAGAAGUAUCUCGGUAUGUAAAGCUCUAUCAGCAGGGAAGAAGAUGACGGUACCUGACUAAGAAGCACCGGCUAAAUACGUGCCAGCAGCCGCGGUAAUCUGAGCGGGCUGGCAAGGC
rnacentral:rRNA from 1 species